GGGGACUAGGUAGAUAGCUACGGACUUUUAAUCCGCAGGUCCUAGGUUCGAGUCCUAGUGGGGGCACCA
rnacentral:tRNA from 1 species